rnacentral:rRNA from 1 species
CGUAUGUAACCUUAACCCUUUAUCUGGGGGAUAGCCUCUCGAAAGAGAGAUUAGCACCGCAUAAAAUCACAGCACGGCAUUGUGCAAUGAUCAAAUAUUUAUAGGAUAAAGAUGGGCAUGCGGAACAUUAGCUAGUUGGCGGGGUAACGGCCCACCAAGGCUACGAUGUUUAGGGGAUCUGAGAGGAUGGCCCCCCACACUGGUACUGAGACACGGACCAG